rnacentral:rRNA from 1 species
UACGGAGGGUGCAAGCGUUAUCCGGAUUUACUGGGUUUAAAGGGUGCGUAGGUGGGUAGGAAAGUCAGUGGUGAAAUCUUCGGGCUUAACCCGGAAACUGCCAUUGAUACUAUUUAUCUUGAAUACUUUGGAGGUAAGCGGAAUAUGUCAUGUAGCGGUGAAAUGCUUAGAUAUGACAUAGAACACCAAUUGCGAAGGCAGCUCACUACGGGAUCAUUGACACUGAGGCACGAAAGCGUGGGGAUCAAACAGG